rnacentral:rRNA from 1 species
GACGAACGCUGGCGGCGUGCUUAACACAUGCAAGUGGAGCGACGAACCAGGCUUCGGCCUGGGGCAGAGCCGCGAACGGGUGAGUAACACGUGGGUAACCUGCCCUGAUGAUCGGGACAACCCGGGGAAACCCGGGCUAAUACCGAAUGUGCCCGCAAGCCACAAGGCUUGCGAGGAAAGGAAGCUUCGGCCUCCGCAUCGGGAUGGGCCCGCGGCCCAUUAGCUUGUUGGUGGGGUAACGGCCUACCAAGGCAGCAAUGGGUAGCUGGUCUGAGAGGACGAUCAGCCACACUGGGACUGAGACACGGCCCAGACUCCUACGGGAGGCAGCAGUGGGGAAUCUUGCGCAAUGCGCGAAAGCGUGACGCAGCAACGCCGCGUGGGGAAGACGGCCU